rnacentral:rRNA from 1 species
GACGAACGCUGGCGGCGUGCCUAAUACAUGCGAGUUGAGCGAUGAAGAUUGGUGCUUGCACCAAUUUGAAGAGCAGCGAACGGGUGAGUAACGCGUGGGGAAUCUGCCUUUGAGCGGGGGACAACAUUUGGAAACGAAUGCUAAUACCGCAUAACAACUUUAAACAUAAGUUUUAAGUUUGAAAGAUGCAAUUGCAUCACUCAAAGAUGAUCCCGCGUUGUAUUAGCUAGUUGGUGAGGUAAAGGCUCACCAAGGCGAUGAUACAUGGCCGACCUGAGAGGGUGAUCGGCCACAUUGGGACUGAGACACGGCCCAAACUCCUACGGGAGGCAGCAGUAGGGAAUCUUCGGCAAUGGACGAAAGUCUGACCGAGCAACGCCGCGUGAGUGAAGAAGGGUGUCGGAUCGUAAAACUCUGUUGGUAGAGAAGAACGUUGGUGAGAGUGGAAAGCUCAUCAAGUGACGGUAACUACCCAGAAAGGGACGGCUAACUACGUG